CUGAAAGUCACCACACCUCUUUACUGUCUAUAUUAUCACGCCUGUAAUACAAGCUUGGUUCUAAACUUCUGAUAAGCCCAACUUCCAGCUCCCGUUUCUUCUCCUGUUCCGGUCAUCUUCCAAUCCUCGUCCCGCAAGUCCAUAGCGUGGAACCAAUCUUCUCCAGCUCCUUCACAAAUAACCAAAGCAGUUGGAUAUUUAAUAUAUAUUUAUAUAUAUACAAGCUAAGGCACUUUAAAAAAAAAGAAUAGAAAAAAUUGGCCUCAAGAUUAUGUUGAUCGAUUUAUCCUGUCAAAGGUAACAAUAUGAAGAUUGCUACGUUGCGGGGUAAUACUGGUGGAUUUCUCACUGGGCUUUCUACCGCUCCAGAAUUCCUAAAUUCCUAGCACUGACGAUAGGAGGAGGAGCUCAAGGAGGCUUGUGUGUUAGGGACUAGUAGAUAUGCAGAUUUGAUUAGAUCAAGAGGACGUUAUAGCAUCACUCUUGAAUUUUUUUUACUGCAGGUAGAAUUUGAACCGCCACCCACGUUCCAAGAAGGGACUUGAGUCCCUCCCUAAUGGCCAUUGAACCAAGCCAGUAGUUGCCACGCACCAGUCAUUGAUCAUUUUUUUUCCCUUUUUUUUUUCUAAUUUCCCCCCCCCCCCCGGGGUUGGUCGGGGGGGGUUGGCCAGGGGCAUCAAUGCAGAUGUAGUAAAUGAAUUUGUUGCGUUGAAUUAACGUUACAAGUUAUUGAUUAGUCUAUCUGAUGCCAAUGUGCAACUGUACGUCUUCAAUGCAGAUGCGACUUAAUAUUGCUACUUGUUUGAGAUGACAUCCAGUUGAUUUUUGUUUUAAAACCAGAAUUUUGUGAACUUUCAUACGUUAGUAGUCUUGAGUUUGAUUCUAAAAUGCUUGCUGUGUUUCUCCAUGUAGUAUCUCGGCUGACCCAAUGUUUGUAGUAGUUACUUAUAGAAUUACCUCAUACCCUUAGUGUUCUGUAAACAUUCAAUGUUCUAGAAAUUUUGCUCCUUCGGCUGUUGUUCGCGGCUUAACUAAAGGAAAAAGAGAUCCCACCCCAGAAACGGUUGGGGAUGGGGUGCGAAGAAACGGGGGAAUAUGAAGUAUGUAUGUUUUGGGGCCAAACUUGUGUCCUGAGACCAUAUUAGCAUGGUUAUAAACUCCAACUUGAAGGUCUCUUAUCAUCCGGCCGUCACAUGCAUGUUUACCAUAUAUCUAUUUGAAGUAGCUGUUGCCGUCAAUUUCUGCCUAACGUGACUCGUGCUGUUUCUGCAAAUUGGCAUAUCCACUUGCCUAUACCACAAAAGAGAGGCUGAGAUAAGAAUCAGAUUACUUUACCGAAAUCAAAGACGUUCGAUGACAUGAUUCUUAAUGUUGUAUUGUAAUUAUCCUGUCUCUUAUGGUUACUGAAUCACGAAAUACAUCUCAGUGACAUACUGGUUUAGACCAUCACAAUCUGUCGGGAAAAUCAUUGAAAUCAAUCCAUACAUGGUUGACACUAUGGCUGGAGGUGAUGCUGACUGCCAGUUCUGGCACAGGAACCUGGGAAUUAAGUGCCUGUCUGCAUGAGCCUGCAAAUAGGAGAACGAUAUCUGUCGCCGGGGCAUUGAAGUUGCUAGUCAGUUGUAUUCCUGCCAUGGCAAGGGAUCGUCUGUUGGAACAAUGAUCGCUGGACGGGGACACAAAGGCACUGUCAUAAGGACUCUUUGCAUAGUUUUAUCCUGAAUUCUACGUCUUAUUGUAAGUAAUUGGUUGUUCCUUGCAAGGUCCAGGCCUAUACUAUGCGGACAGUGAAUGCGGAUGGCUAACAGGAACUGUAGUUUCAGUUGGAUCGGGAUCACCAUGUGCUUACGGUGUUUUGGAUGGUGGGUCUGUUCUGCUCCAAUCAUCCUAAUUCCUCUAGCAUUGUUGGAUUAGCUGACCAUUCAUUAGUGAUUGCAAUGUGAAAAGAGCAGGACUGUCUUAUUGUGUUUUGUUCCAAGGAAUUUUGUGCCUGUUUGGAUGAAUGCUUCAAUCUCUGCUGUUUGUUGUACCCUCUUUGCAUUCUCAUGCAUGCUUCUCUGUGAUCACAUUUCAGGUACCGGUUUGAUAUAUGUCUCUUGAAGCAGCAGCUGGGCUGGCCAGACCCGCCGUUUACCAUGCCACAUUCAGAGAUGGCGCCGGUGGUGAUGGUGUCGGUGGUAUGUUUGUAUCUUCGCUCCAUUUUUCUGCUUGUUAGUUGGUCUGGUUUGAGAACAGGGUUUCUGCUCUCGUUGGUUUAUCGCGUGGGACCUAACGAAUGGAAGAAGCUUUCUGGCGAGGCGAUGAUGUUGGAGAACUUCACCGCACAUAUUAUCCUGUCGAGCAAACGUUAGUGGAGCGGGAAAUGGAUGAGGAUUUAACGUCUUCAGAUAUUGAAACGGGAAGAAGAUUUACGCAUGUAAUUUGAUUAUUCACAAGACGGUCGAAAGAACAGCCAAAGUCGCCACUACAUUCUUCCUCGCGAAUUGACUUGGGUUACAGGAGUGGUUCCCGCUGUAGUGACCGCAUCAUUAUUCUCUUGAAAUGCCCUUCUUUUUGGCAAAUCGACAAAUAAGUUAAAAAAGAGUAUCAGUCUUGCCAAACGACAGAAAAGAUAGAGUAGGUGUCUCGCGGAAGCCUAAAUCCGAGUCAAGGAAGAAUCGGGUCACCUUCAAAUUCAGACAGUGGUUAUCACCGCUUUUAGGUUUCGGGUUAUGAGUUUUAGAUUGAUAAAGGUAACUUAUAAAAUACUGUGGAUCUAAAUCAGGUU